CUGACUCUUGGAUGAACUAACCACAUCUAAGGGCCACGAGCCCAAGGACAGGA
rnacentral:snoRNA from 1 species